AUUGAACGCUGGCGGAAUGCUUUACACAUGCAAGUCGAACGGCAGCACGGACUUCGGUCUGGUGGCGAGUGGCGAACGGGUGAGUAAUGUAUCGGAACGUGCCCAGUCGUGGGGGAUAACGUAGUGAAAAUUACGCUAAUACCGCAUACGAUCUAUGGAUGAAAGCGGGGGAUCGCAAGACCUCGCGCGAUUGGAGCGGCCGAUAUCAGAUUAGGUAGUUGGUGGGGUAAAGGCCCACCAAGCCAAAGAUCUGUAGCUGGUCUGAGAGGACGACCAGCCACACUGGAACUGAGACACGGUCCAGACUCCUACGGGAGGCAGCAGUGGAGAAUUUUGGACAAUGGGCGAGAGCCUGCUCCAGCCAUUCCGCGUGCAGGAUGAAGGCCCUCGGGUUGUAAACUGCUUUUGUACAGAACGAAAAGGUUUCUACUAAUACUAGGAGCUCAUGACGGUACUGUAAGAAUAAGCACCGGCUAACUACGUGCCAGCAGCCGCAGUAA
rnacentral:rRNA from 1 species